rnacentral:rRNA from 1 species
AUACGGAGGGGGUUAGCGUUGUUCGGAAUUACUGGGCAUAAAGCGUGCGUAGGCGGACUAUUAAGUCAGAGGUGAAAUCCCGGGGCUCAACCCCGGAACUGCCUUUGAUACUGGUAGUCUUGAGGUCGAGAGAGGUGAGUGGAAUUCCUAGUGUAGAGGUGAAAUUCGUAGAUAUUAGGAGGAACACCAGUGGCGAAGGCGGCUCACUGGCUCGAUUCUGACGCUGAGGUACGAAAGUGUGGGGAGCAAACAGGAUUAGAAACCCCAGUAGUCC